GAAAUGCGAUAAGUAAUGUGAAUUGCAGAAUUCAGUGAAUCAUCGAAUCUUUGAACGCACCUUGCGCUCCUUGGUAUUCCUUGGAGCAUGCCUGUUUGAGUAUCAUGAAAUCUUCAAAGUAAAUCUUUUGUUAACUCAAUUGGUUUCUACUUUGAUAUUGGAGGUCUUUGCAGAUUCACACCUGCUCCUCUUUGUUCAUUAGCUGGAUCUCAGUGUUAUGCUUGGUUCCACUCGGCGUGAUAAGUUAUCUAUCGCUGAGGACACUGUAAAAGGUGGCCAAGGUAAAUGCAGAUGAACCGCUUCUAAUAGUCCAUUGACUUGGACAAUACUUUUAUGAUCUGAUCUCAAAUCAGGUAGGACUACCCGCUGAACUUAAGC
rnacentral:misc_RNA from 1 species